GGGCUAUUAGCUCAGUGGUAGAGCGCGCCCCUGAUAAUUACUUCACGGGCGAGGUCUCUGGUUCAAGUCCAGGAUGGCCCA
rnacentral:tRNA from 2 species